CCUCCAUUUCUUGGCAUGCGCGCUGUCUGGUACACGCGUGUGUAAUGUAAGGAGGAACACUGAAGCCAGUGCAAUGUCUUCGGUACCAGGCUGUUUCCCCAUCAGCUGGUCCUAUCCUCAAUCGCUGGUACAAAC